GGCCUAUCAGCUUGUUGGUGGGGUAAUGGCCUACCAAGGCGACGACGGGUAGCCGACCUGAGAGGGUGACCGGCCACACUGGGACUGAGACACGGCCCAGACUCCUACGGGAGGCAGCAGUGGGGAAUAUUGCACAAUGGGCGGAAGCCUGAUGCAGCGACGCCGCGUGAGGGACGAAGGCCUUCGGGUUGUAAACCUCUUUCAGCAGGGACGAAGCGUGAGUGGCGGUACCUGCAGAAGAAGCACCGGCUAACUACGUGCCAGCAGCCGCGGUAAUACGUAGGGUGCGAGCGUUGUCCGGAAUUACUGGGCGUAAAGAGUUCGUAGGCGGUUUGUCGCGUCGUUUGUGAAAACCCGGGGCUCAACUUCGGGCUUGCAGGCGAUACGGGCAGACUUGGGUGUUUCAGGGGAGACUGGAAUUCCUGGUGUAGCGGUGAAAUGCGCAGAUAUCAGGAGGAACACCGGUGGCGAAGGCGGGUCUCUGGGAAACAACUGACGCUGAGGAACGAAAGCGUGGGUAGCAAACAGGAUUAGAUACCCUGGUAGUCCACGCCGUAAACGGUGGGCGCUAGGCGUGGGUUCCUUCCAC
rnacentral:rRNA from 1 species